AUUGAACGCUGGCGGCAGGCCUAACACAUGCAAGUCGAGCGGAUGAAGGGAGCUUGCUCCUGGAUUCAGCGGCGGACGGGUGAGUAAUGCCUAGGAAUCUGCCUGGUAGUGGGGGACAACGUUUCGAAAGGAACGCUAAUACCGCAUACGUCCUACGGGAGAAAGCAGGGGACCUUCGGGCCUUGCGCUGUCAGAUGAGCCUAGGUCGGAUUAGCUAGUUGGUGAGGUAAAGGCUCAUCUAGGCGACGAUACGUAACUGGUCUGAGAGGAUGAUCAGUCACACUGGAACUGAGACACGGUCCAGACUCCUACGGGAGGCAGCAGUGGGGAAUAUUGGACAAUGGGCGAAAGCCUGAUCCAGCCAUGCCGCGUGUGUGAAGAAGGUCUUCGGAUUGUAAAGCACUUUAAGUUGGGAGGAAGGGUUGUAGAUUAAUACUCUGCAAUUUUGACGUUACCGACAGAAUAAGCACCGGCUAACUCUGUGCCAGCCGCCGCGGUAA
rnacentral:rRNA from 1 species